rnacentral:rRNA from 1 species
UACGGAGGAUGCGAGCGUUAUCCGGAUUUAUUGGGUUUAAAGGGUGCGUAGGCGGGCUGUUAAGUCAGCGGUCAAAUCGUGGGGCUCAACCCCAUCCAGCCGUUGAAACUGGGGAUCUAGAGUGUGCGAGAGGUAUGCGGAAUGCGUGGUGUAGCGGUGAAAUGCAUAGAUAUUGCGCAGAACUCCGAUUGCGAAGGCAGCCUACCGGCUUCUGUCUGACGCUCAGGCACGAAAGCGUGGGUAUCGAACAGG